UACAGAGGGUGCAAGCGUUGUUCGGAAUUAUUGGGCGUAAAGGGCGCGUAGGCGGUGCGGUAAGUCUGCGGUGAAAUCUCCCGGCUCAACUGGGAGGGUGCGCCGGAUACUGAGGGGCUAGAGUGCGGGAGAGGAGAGUGGAAUUCCUGGUGUAGCGGUGAAAUGCGUAGAUAUCAGGAGGAACACCGGUGGUGUAAACGGCUCUCUGGACCGCAACUGACGCUGAGACACGAAAGCGUGGGUAGCAAACAGG
rnacentral:rRNA from 1 species